CAACCUGCCGCUUACUCGGGGAUAGCCUUUCGAAAGAAAGAUUAAUACCCGAUGGUAUAAAGAGUUCGCAUGUUCUCUUUAUUAAAGAAUUUCGGUAAGCGAUGGGGAUGCGUUCCAUUAGAUUGUUGGCGGGGUAACGGCCCACCAAGUCUACGAUGGAUAGGGGUUCUGAGAGGAAGGUCCCCCACAUUGGAACUGAGACACGGUCCAAACUCCUACGGGAGGCAGCAGUGAGGAAUAUUGGUCAAUGGACGAGAGUCUGAACCAGCCAAGUAGCGUGAAGGAUGACUGCCCUAUGGGUUGUAAACUUCUUUUAUAAGGGAAUAAAGUGAGGGACGUGUCCCUUUUUGUAUGUACCUUAUGAAUAAGGAUCGGCUAACUCCGUGCCAGCAGCCGCGGUAAUACGGAGGAUCCGAGCGUUAUCCGGAUUUAUUUGGUUUAAAGGGAGCGUAGGUUGACAUAUAAGUCAGCUGUGAAAGUUUACGGCUCAACCGUGAAAUUGCAGUUGAUACUGUAUGUCUUGAGUGUACAAGAGGUGGGCGGAAUUCGUGGUGUAGCGGUGAAAUGCUUAGAUAUCACGAAGAACUCCGAUUG
rnacentral:rRNA from 1 species